UACGUAGGGUGCGAGCGUUAAUCGGAAUUACUGGGCGUAAAGCGUGCGCAGGCGGUUCGUUGUGUCUGCUGUGAAAGCCCCGGGCUCAACCUGGGAACUGCAAUGGAAACUGGCGGGCUUGAGUGUGGCAGAGGGGGGUGGAAUUCCGCGUGUAGCAGUGAAAUGCGUAGAGAUGCGGAGGAACACCGAUGGCGAAGGCAGCCCCCUGGGCCAACACUGACGCUCAGGCACGAAAGCGUGGGGAGCAAACAGG
rnacentral:rRNA from 1 species